UACGUAGGGUGCGAGCGUUGUCCGGAAUUACUGGGCGUAAAGAGCUCGUAGGCGGUUUGUCGCGUCGUCCGUGAAAACUUGGGGCUCAACCCCAAGCUUGCGGGCGAUACGGGCAGACUUGAGUACUGCAGGGGAGACUGGAAUUCCUGGUGUAGCGGUGAAAUGCGCAGAUAUCGGGAGGAACACCGGUGGCGAAGGCGGUUCUCUGGGCCUUACCUGACGCUGAGGAGCGAAAGCGUGGGGAGCGAACAGG
rnacentral:rRNA from 1 species